AGCCCUGCUGCUUCUGCCCGGCCCCUGCCACUAUUUCCCCCUCACUGCUAUUUUCCCUUUACCACCGGGUGUGUGUGUGAGCAGAGCAAGCCGCCAUCACCACCAACAGUGGCAGGGGCUUCCACAGGUGGGCCUCUUCAGCCUGCACAGACUGGCCUGCACAGUCUGGCCUCACAGCACUUCAUACUCCUACUGCACAUACUUCAUACUCCUACUGCACAUGCACACAGGCCGAGGAGGCCUGCCUGUACCUGCCUCCAGGAGGAGUGGCCUGCUCCACUCAGCUCAUACACCCCCCCAGUGGUGAAGAGAGGAAAUACCGGCGAGUGGAGACCAGGGGGAAAUAGAGGCGGUGCGCAGGGUAGGGGCCAGGCAGCAGAUCAGAGAGGUCCUGAACCAGGAUUUCUAAGGUAUACAUCAAUGGCUCACAAUAUUGAUUCAACAAAUGGAAAAGUCAUCAUUUUUCCAAGAUGGAACAUCGCCUUACUUCAGCAUCUGGGUCCAUACUGUCCAUGGCAACAGAUCAAUAUCUUCAGUAUCAACUUCUGGCUGACACCUGCCUGUUUACACACUGAGCUGCAGCCACAAUUUUAUAUUUUGGGCCUGCCACUGGGCUCACUCCUCUGGUCUUGGAUCACAGCUGGGUUGCAGUGAGUUUGCUGAAGGCAUGCCACUCAAGAGGUGAGAAAUGUUGUGAAGCAGUUUGCUGCCACUCCUCGACCAGCACUACUGCUGCAGGCGGGCACUUUAAGUCAAUUGUUCAACCAAUUGGCAACAAUCUUGAGUUGUUGAAGGGUAAAGCCUUGGUUUUGCAGGCUCGGCUCAGCCCAAUUUCCAAAGCAAAGCAAGGCAAAUCUUUAUUACUGCCUUAGACCAGCAGAAGAAACACAAUACAAAUUACAAAUUAAACCAUAGAAUAUAAAACUUGUGUAGUGAUCAGCCACCUCUCUCCUAAAGAGUUAACCAGAAGUGAACCCUGUCCUGACUGACAGGCUGGUGAACACCAGUGAUCAGUCAAUCAGCCACACCAGGUGGCUGGGACCUAGAGAGCCAUUGGUAGGAAGGAGAGAUCCUUUAUUAGAAGAAGCAGGCUGGGGGCAAGAACAGCACAUGUGGCCAGGGAGGAUGGCUGCAAGGAGGCUGACUGCAGCUCUUGGAAGAUAGAACUGCAGGGGCUUGAAUUCUCAUCUAUGAUUUAGUGAGUUCAAGACAAAGGAAGCCAGGGUUUUGGCUUCAGGAAGUUUAGUCUAGGGAAAGUUUGUUUAGUCAGAUUUUGCAUUAGACUUUCUGUUUCUUUGGUGUGUGCUUUGUAUACCCCUGAAACUGUUCUAUGAUUGUUUACCUGUAAUGUAACUAAACUAAGAAACACUAGCCUUCGUCCAUUCAGCCAGGGUGUUGCAAAAGAGACUGGAAGCUUUUAAAGGUGCUUUUGUAUUUCCCUACAUACCUGUUCCUUGCAACUGGGUAACCACGAAUUUAAAGUGUGCAGCCCCAACAUCAUUUGGGGUGCUUUUUGAAGUAUUAUUGUAAUCUACUGAGUAUAUUUACCUGUAACUAAAAGCUAGCUGGGAGAGCUUCAGACAGAAGCAGACUGUAGCAUUUGAAUAAACUUGUUUUGUCUUUUU